rnacentral:misc_RNA from 1 species
UCACUGGUCCAAUUAUGAAUACCUACAAGAAUAUUAACAACAUUAGAUACUAGAAUGGAAUAAAACUAAUGUGAUAUUAUAUAAAUCCUGAACUACAACUAAAUUCAAACUCUUAUAUACGGCUCCGGAAUCUAGGAAUCCAACAGUUAAAACUAAUUUGUUGUUACAUUUUGAUGCAAAAAAAUUUCCACCUCAACCUAAAGGAAGGAAGAAGAGAAAUUUGCUGGCACAUAUCAGAAGGGACAAAAAGAAUUUGGAGGAUAAGAUGGGAAACCUCAGCACAAGUUUGUUAGAGGGAAUCUCGGCACCAAAGGACCAGUGCAGUACCAGUUUGUUGGAGGGAAUUUCGGUAGCCAUAUGACAACAACAACAACAACAACAACA